rnacentral:rRNA from 1 species
ACGCUAUCACUACUACGGGAGGCAGCAGUGGGGAAUAUUGCACAAUGGGCGCAAGCCUGAUGCAGCCAUGCCGCGUGUAUGAAGAAGGCCUUCGGGUUGUAAAGUACUUUCAGCAGUGAGGAAGGUGGGUAUGUUAAUAGCAUAUUCAUUUGACGUUAGCUGCAGAAGAAGCACCGGCUAACUCCGUGCCAGCAGCCGCGGUAAUACGGAGGGUGCGAGCGUUAUCCGGAAUCAUUGGGUUUAAAGGGUCCGUAGGUGGAUGAUUAAGUCAGAGGUGAAAUCCUGCAGCUCAACUGUAGAAUUGCCUUUGAUACUGGUUGUCUUGAAUUAUUGUGAAGUAGUUAGAAUAUGUGGUGUAGCGGUGAAAUGCAUAGAUAUCACAUAGAAUACCGAUUGCGAAGGCAGAUUACUAACAAUACAUUGACACUGAUGGACAGAAAGCGUGGGGAGCGAACAGGAUUAGAUACCCUGGUAG